rnacentral:rRNA from 1 species
AUGUUGAAGCCGGCGGCAUCAUCUUCCUCGUGGGUCCUGUGCCGGGCUCUCAUCGCCGCUGCACUGAUCAUGUGUGCGGCCAACGUUGAGCUUGUCCAUGCAGGUGGCAGGCCAGUGCCGAGACCUCCGGCUCCGGUAGGGCAUGUGGCUCCCAAGGAGCACUGCCCUGACUGCAGCGACAACCCGCCACCGUCGCCCCCGCUUCCUCCUACUCCUCCGGCAGCCUCAGCAGACGUACCUCCUGCUGGCAGCCAUAUGUAA